rnacentral:rRNA from 1 species
AUGCUGCUCCGCCUCGGCCCCUUGCCCACCCUGGUUGUCUCGUCCGCGAACGUGGCGCGCGAGGUGCUGCAGCUGCGGGACCACGCCUUCGCCAACCGGCCCGCGCUCGCCAUCCCGCGGCGGCUCCUCUACGGCUGCAUGGACAUCGCCUUCGCUCCCCACGGCGCCUACUGGCGUGGUGUGUGCACGAUCGUCGUGCCCCACCUGCUGAGCCCCGCCAGGGUGCGCACCUACCGCGGCGUGCGCGAGGAGGUGGCCGAGCUUGUCCGGAAAGUGCAGCAGCAGGCACAUGAAGGCGGCGUCGUGCGGUCGAGCAAUCUCCUGAGUGGCUUCGCCAAGGACGUGAACGGGCGAAUCGUGCUCGGGCGAUUUGAUUCCUGUUGUGUAUGA